rnacentral:rRNA from 1 species
CCUACGGGGGGCUGCAGUGGGGAAUAUUGGACAAUGGGGGGAACCCUGAUCCAGCCAUGCCGCGUGUGUGAAGAAGGCCCUCGGGUUGUAAAGCACUUUCAGUGAGGAAGAACGCCUGGUGGUUAAUACCCAUCAGGAAAGACAUCACUCACAGAAGAAGCACCGGCUAACUCCGUGCCAGCAGCCGCGGUAAUACGGAGGGUGCGAGCGUUAAUCGGAAUUACUGGGCGUAAAGCGCGCGUAGGUGGCUUGAUAAGUCGGUUGUGAAAGCCCCGGGCUCAACCUGGGAACGGCAUCCGGAACUGUCAAGCUAGAGUGCAGGAGAGGAAGGUAGAAUUCCCGGUGGAGCGGUGAAAUGCGUAGAGAUCGGGAGGAAUACCAGUGGCGAAGGCGGCCUUCUGGACUGACACUGACACUGAGGUGCGAAAGCGUGGGUAGCAAACAGGAUUAGAUACCCUGGUAGUC